rnacentral:rRNA from 1 species
UACGUAGGGAGCAAGCGUUGUUCGGAUUUACUGGGCGUAAAGCGCACGUAGGCGGUAUUGCAAGUCGGAUGUGAAAUCCCUCGGCUCAACCAAGGAAGUGCAUCCGAAACUGCCGUACUUGAGUACUUAAGAGGAUCGCGGAAUUCCCGGUGUAGAGGUGAAAUUCGUAGAUAUCGGGAGGAGCACCAGUGGCGAAGGCGGCGAUCUGGGAAGAUACUGACGCUGAGGUGCGAAAGCGUGGGGAGCAAACAGG